rnacentral:rRNA from 1 species
GACGAACGCUGGCGGCGUGCUUAACACAUGCAAGUCGAACGGUAAGGCCCUUCGGGGUACACGAGUGGCGAACGGGUGAGUAACACGUGGGUGAUCUGCCCUGCACUUCGGGAUAAGCCUGGGAAACUGGGUCUAAUACUGGAUAGGACCCUGGGAUGCAUGUCCUGGGGUGGAAAGCUUUUGCGGUGUGGGAUGGGCCCGCGGCCUAUCAGCUUGUUGGUGGGGUGAUGGCCUACCAAGGCGACGACGGGUAGCCGGACUGAGAGGGUGACCAGCCACACUGGGACUGAGAUACGGCCCAGACUCCUACGGGAGGCAGCAGUGGGGAAGAUUGCACAAUGGGCGCAAGCCUGAUGCAGCGACGCCGCGUGAGGGAUGACGGCCUUCGGGUUGUAAACCUCUUGCAGCACCGACGAAGCGCAAGUGACGGUAGGUGCAGAAGAAGGACCGGCCAACUACGUGCCAGCCGCCGCUGUAA